rnacentral:rRNA from 1 species
GUUAUAUGGUCAAGUGAAGAAGCGCAUACGGUGGAUGCCUUGGCAGUCAGAGGCGAUGAAAGACGUGGUAGCCUGCGAAAAGCUUUGGGGAGUCGGCAAACAGACUGUGAUCCAGAGAUCUCUGAAUGGGGGAACCCAGCCAGCAUAAGCUGGUUAUCUUGUACUGAAUACAUAGGUGCAAGAGGCGAACCAGGGGAACUGAAACAUCUAAGUACCCUGAGGAAAAGAAAUCAACCGAGAUUCCCUUAGUAGUGGCGAGCGAACGGGGACCAGCCCUUAAGUUGGUUUGAGAUUAGUGGAACGCUCUGGAAAGUGCGGCCAUAGUGGGUGAUAGCCCUGUACACGAAAAUCUCUUAUCAAUGAAAUCGAGUAGGACGGAGCACGAGAA